rnacentral:SRP_RNA from 1 species
GUCAAGCAUGGUGGCACGUGCCUGUGGUCCCAGCUACUUGGGAGGCUGAGGCUGGAAGAUCGCUUGAGUCCAGGAGUUUUGGGCUGUAGUGCGCUAUGACAAUCAGGUGAGCACACUAAGUUUGGCAUCGAUUUGGUGACCUCCCUGGAGCAGGGGACCACCAGGUUGCCUAAGGAGGGGUGAACUGGCCCAGGAUGGAAAGAGAGCAGGUCAAAACUCUCAUCCUGAUCAGUAGUGGGACUGUGCCUGUGAAAAGCCCCUGCACCAUUCCAGCCUGGGCGUAGUGAGACCCUGUCUCU